rnacentral:rRNA from 1 species
AUUGAACGCUGGCGGCGUGCUUAACACAUGCAAGUCGAUCGGUAACGCGGGGGCAACCCUGGCGACGAGAGGCGGACGGGUGAGGAACGCUUGGGAAUCUGCCCUUCAGCGGGGGACAACACGGGGAAACUCGUGCUAAUACCGCAUACGCUCCACGGAGGAAAGCCGGGGACCGCAAGGCCUGGCACUGAAGGAUGAGCCCAAGUCGGAUUAGCUAGUUGGCGGGGUAAAGGCCUACCAAGGCGACGAUCUGUAGCGGGUCUGAGAGGAUGAGCCGCCACACUGGGACGGAGACGCGGCCCAGACUCCUACGGGAGGCAGCAGUGGGGAGUAUUGGACAAUGGGGGGAACCCUGAUCUAGCCAUGCCGGGUGUGUGAAGAAAGCCUUAUGGUUGUAAAGCACUUUAAGCGAGGAGGAGGCUACUUUAGUUAAUACCUAGAGAUAGUGGACAUUACUCGCAGAAUAAGCACCGGCUAACUCUGUGCCAGCCGCCGCGGUAACAC